rnacentral:rRNA from 1 species
AUGCUACACAUUGGGGAUUUUGCAAAGCAAAUGGAGCAGCAAAGAAACGACUCGAUUCCUCAGCAGUAUGGCCGUCAUGCUUUGACAUGCCAAGUUGCUGACCAGAUAUGUUGUCUUUCACUCUUUGUAGGCAUAGAUAUGCCUGGACUGAGCUACCUUGAGUCGAUCGCACAUCAACUUAACCUUCUCUUCAGGUCUUUGAUUAAAUCUGGUCCAAACAGCUGUCGAUCUCCAACUUCGUCCCAUGAUAACGGUGUCCUGCACCUCCUUCCGUAUAAAGCUUUGAAAGAGGCCAUCUUCAAACUAGCUUGA